AGCAGCCGCGGUAAUUCCAGCUCCAAUAGCGUAUAUUAAAGUUGUUGCAGUUAAAAAGCUCGUAGUUGAACUUCGGGGUUUACCCAUUGGUCAGGCUUAAUUGUCUGUACUGGUGAGAUAAAUCUCUACCUUCUGAGGAACUUUCAUGCCAUUUAUUUGGUGUGAUGGGAAAUCAGGACUGUUACUUUGAAAAAUUAGAGUGUUUAAAGCAGGCUAACGUCUGAAUACAUUAGCAUGGAAUAAUGAAAUAGGACGGACUGAUUCUAUUUCGUUGGUUUCUAGGAUCACCGUAAUGAUUAAUAGGGAUAGUUGGGGGCAUUAGUAUUCAAUUGUCAGAGGUGAAAUUCUUGGAUUUAUUGAAGACUAACUACUGCGAAAGCAUUUGCCAAGGAUGUUUUCAUUAAUCAAGAACGAAAGUUAGGGGAUCGAAGACGAUCAGAUACCGUGUAG
rnacentral:rRNA from 1 species